GAUGAACGCUAGCGGCAGGCUUAACACAUGCAAGUCGAGGGGUAUAGGUUUUCGGACCUAGAGACCGGCGCACGGGUGCGUAACGCGUAUGCAAUCUACCUUUCACAGAGGGAUAGCCCAGAGAAAUUUGGAUUAAUACCUCAUAGUAUUAUGAAGUGGCAUCAUUUUAUAAUUAAAGUUCCAACGGUGAAAGAUGAGCAUGCGUCCCAUUAGCCAGAUGGUAAGGUAACGGCUUACCAUGGCGACGAUGGGUAGGGGUCCUGAGAGGGAGAUCCCCCACGCUGAUACUGAGACACGGACCAGACUCCUACGGGAGGCAGCAGUGAGGAAUAUUGUUCAAUGGACGCAAGUCUGAACCAGCCAUGCCGCGUGCAGGAUGACGGUCCUAUGGAUUCUAAACUGCUUUUGUACGAGAAGAACCACUCCUUCUUGAAGGAGCUUGACGGUAUCGUAGGAAUAAGGAUCGGCUAACUCCGUGCCAGCCGCCGCCGUAA
rnacentral:rRNA from 1 species